rnacentral:rRNA from 1 species
AGCGAACGCUGGCGGCAGGCCUAACACAUGCAAGUCGAACGAACUCUUCGGAGUUAGUGGCGGACGGGUGAGUAACACGUGGGAACGUGCCUUUUGGUUCGGAAUAACUCAGGGAAACUUGUGCUAAUACCGAAUGUGCCCUUCGGGGGAAAGAUUUAUCGCCAUUAGAGCGGCCCGCGUCUGAUUAGCUAGUUGGUGAGGUAACGGCUCACCAGGGCGACGAUCAGUAGCUGGUCUGAGAGGAUGACCAGCCACACUGGGACUGAGACACGGCCCAGGCUCCUACGGGAGGCAGCAGUGGGGAAUCUUGCGCAAUGGGCGAAAGCCUGACGCAGCCAUGCCGCGUGAAUGAUGAAGGUCUUAGGAUUGUAAAAUUCUUUCACCGGGGACGAUAAUGACGGUACCCGGAGAAGAAGCCCCGGCUAACUUCGUG